CAUCCCUCCUGUUCUGUGUAUGGCACUGGUAGAAUUCACUGUGAAAACACAAAAUCAGUGAAUUACCAUAGGGCCAUAAACAGAGCAGAGAAAGAAC
rnacentral:pre_miRNA from 1 species